UAAGCAUGAAGCCCCCCUCAAGAUGAGAUUUCCCAUAGCGUCAAGCUAGUAAGAACCCUGAAAGAUGAUCAGGUUGAUAGGUCAGAGGUGGAAGCGUGGUAACAUGUGGAGCUGACUGAUACUAAUCGUUCGAGGACUUAACCA
rnacentral:rRNA from 1 species